AGGUGAUCCUUGGACGCCCACAGUACAUCACCUUCAUGAGCGCAUCAGUGAACACCAGUCUAAGGAAGACAUCUCUGAACGUAAUUUUGGAGAUUUUGAUGAGUUCCAUUGAAACAAGGAGGAAUGUGAUGUCCAGUAUCAGUUCUGCAGACCCAAGGACAAAGAAAAUUCUGUGAUAAACUCAUCCAGUGUGACUGUAAUGAUACAAGACACCGGACUUUCAAAUCAACAAUUGUUUCAAAAGACUCCUACUGGAUUCCUGCUAGUGAUGGGAGAAAAUUAUCAUUCUGCUAGUUAAUCUGUAGCCAGAGAUGAUUAAGGAGGUCAUUAAAGGAAAACAAGCUGCCCACCAUGCUGAUGCCUGGUUGUUCAGAUCGUUGAGGUG
rnacentral:lncRNA from 1 species